CAAGUCCUUUCUCCAACUUCCAAGCCGAACUCAAACCCUUGAUGAAGCCCCGGGUCGACCGCACUUUCUCCCUCCAAGCUUCGUCUCUGGCAGAGCGGGAGCCUGUACUGUAGAGAAUUGUCCUCAGUCCACCUAAGCUGCUUCAUCCAGAUGCACCUGGGAGAUUAUGCUCCUGUUGUCCCAGCCUCCCAGGCACCCACAGCCUGUGAAUGACUGAAGUGGGGUAUGAAGUCCAGCUCCCUUGCUUCUGAGAGGAAUAAAUCUUGUGUUGCAUUUUUAUGCUUUAGAGCUCACUGUAGGAUCAGAUUGAGGCUAGACAUCUUUGCUUGGCUUCUUCCCCUGCCCUAUCCUGCUUCCCUCACUGCUAAUAAAUCACUUGCAAAAGAA